UACGUAGGGUGCAAGCGUUGUCCGGAAUUACUGGGCGUAAAGCGCUCGUAGGCGGUCUGUCGCGUCUGCUGUGAAAACUCAGGGCUUAACCCUGAGCUUGCAGUGGGUACGGGCAGACUAGAGUGCGGUAGGGGAGACUGGAAUUCCUGGUGUAGCGGUGAAAUGCGCAGAUAUCAGGAGGAACACCGGUGGCGAAGGCGGGUCUCUGGGCCGUAACUGACGCUGAGGAGCGAAAGCAUGGGGAGCGAACAGG
rnacentral:rRNA from 1 species